UCUGGAAACCGUNUGACUUGAGUGCAGAAGGGGAGAGUGGAAUUCCAUGUGUAGCGGUGAAAUGCGUAGAUAUAUGGAGGAACACCAGUGGCGAAAGCGGCUCUCUGGUCUGUCACUGACGCUGAGGCUCGAAAGCGUGGGCAGCGAACAGGAUUAGAUACCNUGGUAGUCCACGCCGUAAACGAUGAGUGCUAGGUGUUAGGCCCNUUCCGGGGCUUAGUGCCGGAGCUAACGCAAUAAGCACUCCGCCUGGGGAGUACGACCGCAAGGUUGAAACUCAAAGGAAUUGACGGGGGCCCGCACAAGCGGUGGAGCAUGUGGUUUAAUUCGAAGCAACGCGAAGAACCUUACCAGGUCUUGACAUCCCGAUGCUAUUCUUAGAGAUAGGAAGUUACUUCGGUACAUCGGAGACAGGUGGUGCAUGGUUGUCGUCAGCUCGUGUCGUGAGAUGUUGGGUUAAGUCNNGCAACGAGCGCAACCCUUAUUGUUAGUUGCCAUCAUUAAGUUGGGCACUCUAGCGAGACUGCCGGUAAUAAACCGGAGGAAGGUAGGGAUGACGUCAAAUCAUCGUGCCCCUUAUGACCUGGGCUACACACGUGCUACAAUGGUCGGUACAACGAGUUGCGAGCCGGUGACGGCAAGCUAAUCUCUGAAAGCCGAUCUCAGUUCGGAUUGGAGGCUGCAACUCGCCUCCAUGAAGUCGGAAUCGCUAGUAAUCGCGGAUCAGCACGCCGCGGUGAAUACGUUCCCGGGCCUUG
rnacentral:rRNA from 1 species